CAGCUCCAUCGUUACAAUGGCCUCUUUAGACCCAGCUCCUGCCUCCCAGCCUUCUCUCCAGGCCCUGAACAUUCUCAGUAAGUUCAGGUAGCUGGGACUGUAGGUAUACAUGACGAUACUUGGCUAAUUUUUAAAUUGUUUUGUAGACACGGGGUCUCACUUUGUUGGCCAGGCUGGUGUCAAACUAAUGGCCUCAAGUGACCCUUCCACCCCUGCCUCCCAUCCUCGAGGCAUGUGCCACCACAAGGAGCACUUGUUCAAUUUUCUAAAAAAAAAAUUUCUAAAGUAAGGCUGUGGGAUGAUGGCAGGAAGAUAAAAGAAAAACAGAAGAAUAAGUUAAAAUGACUUAUUCACGCAUAUUCUUUUGACAGCAAGAAGAACUUUUAGUAUAUACAUUCCUUACAAACAAACAAAAGGCAGAUAAACAAUGUUGUAUAGGAACUUCAACACACACUGUACAAUAUUCCCACUUUGCUGACAUAAGUUAUGGAAAUUUCAUGGUUUACUUGAGUGUCGCUACCAGUAUUUUGCUUCUCUGAUGAUUUUUAUCAACUUCCUCAUCUGUUAACUUCUCUCCAAGGUAUGUCAUGUCACGACAUACUGCCGCUGCACGAACAUGGCCAGUGUCUUCCUAUUCAACAUGUAGAAUGCUUUCCUAAUUUCUCUUUUUACUCUCUGUCUUUGUGUUCUGCAUUUUCCUUACUUUUAUUGUCAGAAACUCCAGAAAGCCAAUCGUACUAAUUUAUCACGAUUUGCUUUAUUAAUUUAUACUUUGCUUAUAUGGAAUUUUGCCCAGCAGACCUCAUCACAGUUUCUAACCUGUUUUAUUUAUUUAUUUUUUUUUUUCUGAGACAGGGUCUCCCUCUGUUGUCCAAGGCUGGAGUGUAGUAGUGCUAUCGCAGCUGACUGCAGCCUCAACCUUCCAGGCUGAAGCGAUCCUCCCACCUCAACCUCCCACGUGGCUGAGACUACAGGUGCUUGCCACUAUGCCCAACUAAUAUUUGGAAUUUUCGUAUACGUGGAUUCCAGAGGGGUGACAGCAAAACGUGAGUAAGCAUGGAUUUUGGUAUAUGCAGAGAUGGGGGGCUGGAACUAAUUCUGUAUACUGAGGGACGACGACUGUAUAUGUUUUUACAAUUACGCUGUAGGAUACAUACUGUUGCAUAGCCUUGAAAAUAAUAAUUUUUAAUUGAGUGGAAUAAGAAUAAUAUUGAUAAAAGUAGCAGCUGGCCAGGUGUGGUGGCUCACACUGGUAAUCACAACACUUUGGGAGGCUGAGGCAGGAGGAUGGCUCGAGGCCAAGAGUUUGCGAUAGGCCUUGGAAACAAAGGGGGAGUCACCAUCCCUACAGAAAAAUACAUGAAUUAGCCUAGUGUGGUGGCAUGUUCCUGUAGUCCCAGCUACUUGGGAGGCUGAGGUGGGAGGAUCACUUGAGCCCAGGGAGGCUGAGACUGCAGUGAGUCAUGAUCAGGCCUCUGCACUCCAGCCUGGGUGACAGAGUGAGACCCUGUCUCAAAACAACAAAAAAGUAGCAGCCAACAUCAACUGACCUUUUGUACCAGGUGCCUAUUGAUACCAUAGUUUAAUUUCUUAUAACUGUUUCUUAUUUCACUUACCAACUCUGUCUUCAGUUACUCCCAGAUUUUUACUGUGUGUGUACAGAUGACCUUUUGUUUAGACUGAAUUGUCUCCCCAGAAGUAAGAUUACUGUGAGUCAUGGUGAAUGGACAUUCUCCUUACCCUUGAUGUAAAUUGACAGGGUUUUGGGUGCCUCCCAGCUAUAAUCUUAGCACUUUGGGAGGCUAAGAGAGGAGGAUUGCUUGAGGCCAAGAGUUGGAGGAGGCAGUAUGGCAGUAUGGUGAGACCCUGUCUCCAUUAUUUUAAAAAAUUGACAGGCUUUACCCUGGAAGGCUUAUACACAAUUUAACCACCCCUCAUAGUAUAAGAAAGUGCCCAUUUCACUGCACCUUUGCCAGCACAGGGUAUUAUAAUUUAGUAAGUCAUUUUUUGUUUGAUUAUUUUACAUAGACAAAAGAACUCAUAUUACUUUACUUGUCACAUUUCAACAUCUUUCCUCAGCUUAUUAGCUCUAUUUCUUUUCUGUCUGUAAAUGGUUGUUGCUGUUUUGGUCUUUGAGACAGGAUCUUGCUCUGUCACCAGGCUGGACUGUAGUGGCAUAAUCAUGCCUCACUGCAGCCUUGACCUCCCAGGCUCAAACUUCAGCAUUCCGAGUAGCUGGGACUACAAGUGUGCACCACCACCCCCAGCUAACUUUUUUCUUCUUUUGGAUAGAGACAGGGUCUCACUGUGUCGUCCAGACCGGUCUCUAGCUCCUGGCCUUAAGCAAUCCUCCUGCAUUAGCUUCUGAAAUUACUGGAAUUUCAGGCAUGAGCCACCAUGCCUGGCCUGGGCUAGUCCCAUAUUCUCUAGAGUUCUGUUUACUUUGUGCUAGCCAAUCUCUCAUUAUGCUGUUCACCUGUUAUAAUGAAUAAUUCUCUGUAUUAAAUUUUACCACUUUAAACUUUUGAGUGGUUUAUGCUUCCUGAUUGGACUCUGACUAAUAUGUUAGGAAGGGUCCCAGGAGGUAGACCCACACAGAUGGGAUUUGGGCAUAGGUUUGGUUUCCCAGGGGGCAGUGCUGAGCUCUUUGCCAGUGGGAAAUGGGAUGCUGGUGAUUUCCAGUAGGUGACCUCACAGUGACUCAAGCUACCACUUACUGUUGAUUGUGACGAAAUGCCAGCUGAGGCACAUGCCUUGGGAGCUAAGUGGUUGCUGCCCUUGACCACUGUGAAGACUGGUGUGGGAAGGGUCGCUUUGGAUGCACUUGAGCAGGGGUCCCCAACCCCUGAGCCAUGGAGCCGCAAGGAGCCACACAGCAGGAGGUGAGCGGUGUCGAGUGAGGGAGUGAGGGAAGCUUCGUCUGUAUUUACAGCCACUCCCCUUUGCUCACAUUCCCGCCUGAGCUCCACCUUCUCAGAUGAGCAGCAGCGUUAGAUUCUCAUAGGAGAACGCACCCUGUUGUGAACCGUGCAUGUGAGGGAUCAAGGUUGCGCUGUCCUUAUGAGAAUCUAAUACCUAUUGAUCUGUUACUUUCUCCCAUCACGCUCAGGUGGGAACAUCCAGUUGCAGGAAAACAAGCUUAACACGCCCACUGAUUCUACAUUAUGGUGAGUUCUAUGAUUAUUUUAUUAUAUAUUACAGUGUAAUAAUGGAAAUAAAGUGCCUAAUAAAUGCAAAUGUGCUUACAUCUUUUGGCCCAGCUCCUACCUCCCGGCAGCCUCUCCAGGCCGAGAACUUUCUCCAGUCAGCCUCUACAGACCAACUCCUACCUCCCGGCAGCCUCUCCAGGCCCAGAACUUUCUCCAGUCAGCCUCUACAGACCAAGCUCAUGACUCACAAUGGCCUAUUUAGGCCCAUACCCUACGUCACGGCAGCCUCCGCAGAUGAGCCUACUGCCUCACAACAGCCUCCACAGGCACAGCUCCAUCGUUACAAUGGCCUCUUUAGACCCAGCUCCUGCCUCCCAGCCUUCUCUCCAGGCCCUGAACAUUCUCAGUAAGUUCAGAUAGCUGGGACUGUAGGUAUACAUGACGAUACUUGGCUAAUUUUUAAAUUGUUUUGUAGACACGGGGUCUCACUUUGUUGGCCAGGCUGGUGUCAAACUAAUGGCCUCAAGUGACCCUUCCACCCCUGCCUCCCAUCCUCGAGGUAUGUGCCACCACAGGGAGCACUUGUUCAAUUUUCUAAAAAAGAAAUUUCUAAAGUAAGGCUGUGGGAUGAUGGCAGGAAGAUAAAAGAAAAACAGAAGAAUAAGUUAAAAUGACUUAUUCACGCAUAUUCUUUUGACAGCAAGAAGAACUUUUAGUAUGUACAUUCCUUACAAACAAACAAAAGGCAGAUAAACAAUGUUGUAUAGGAACUUCAACACACACUGUACAAUAUUCCCACUUUGCUGACAUAAGUUAUGGAAAUUUCAUGGUUUACUUGAGUGUCGCUACCAGUAUUUUGCUUCUCUGAUGAUUUUUAUCAACUUCCUCAUCUGUUAACUUCUCUCCAAGGUAUGUCAUGUCACGACAUACUGCCGCUGCACGAACAUGGCCAGUGUCUUCCUAUUCAACAUGUAGAAUGCUUUCCUAAUUUCUCUUUUUACUCUCUGUCUUUGUGUUCUGCAUUUUCCUUACUUUUAUUGUCAGAAACUCCAGAAAGUCAAUCGUACUAAUUUAUCACGAUUUGCUUUAUUAAUUUAUACAUUGCUUAUAUGGAAUUUUGCCCAGCAGACCUCAUUACAAUUUCUAACCUGUUUUAUUUUGUUUUUUUUUCUGAGACAGGGUCUCCCUCUGUUGUCCAAGGCUGGAGUGUAGUAGUGCUAUCGCAGCUGACUGCAGCCUCAACCUUCCAGGCUGAAGCGAUCCUCCCACCUCAACCUCCCACGUGGCUGAGACUACAGGUGCUUGCCACUAUGCCCAACUAACAUUUGGAAUUUUCGUAUACGUGGAUUCUAGAGGGGUGACAGCGAAACGUGAGUAAGCAUGGAUUUUGGUAUAUGCAGAGAUGGGGGGCUGGAACUAAUUCUGUAUACUGAGGGAUGACGACUGUGUAUGUUUUUACAAUUACGCUGUAGGAUACAUACUGUUGCAUAGCCUUGAAAAUAAUAAUUUUUAAUUGAGUGGAAUAAGAAUAAUAUUGAUAAAAGUAGCAGCUGGCCAGGUGUGGUGGCUCACACUGGUAAUCACAACACUUUGGGAGGCUGAGGCAGGAGGAUGGCUCGAGGCCAAGAGUUUGCGAUAGGCCUUGGAAACAAAGGGGGAGUCACCAUCCCUACAGAAAAAUACAUGAAUUAGCCUAGUGUGGUGGCAUGUU
rnacentral:lncRNA from 1 species